UACGGAGGGUGCAAGCAUUAAUCGGAUUUAUUGGGCGUAAAGGGCGCGUAGGCGGAUUCGUAAGUCAGAUGUGAAAUUCCGAAACUCAAUUUCGGAGCUGCAUUUGAAACUGUGAAUCUUGAGGAAUGGCGGAGAAAAUGGAAUUCCACAUGUAGCGGUGAAAUGCGUAGAUAUGUGGAGGAACACCGGUGGCGAAAGCGGUUUUCUAGCUUUUUCCUGACGCUGAGGCGCGAGAGCAAGGGGAUCAAACAGG
rnacentral:rRNA from 1 species